UCCAGUUUAGGUUAGGUUUAAUGAUUAAGAAACUACACUAGACCAACAAAAUGACCACAGAUAACAUAAGAAAAUACAGCAGCAGAUUGUUACAUUUACACACAGGUUGUUCCCCUAACAUGUUAUUCCCCUAACAGGUUGUUCCCCUAACAGGUUGUUCCCCUAACAGGUUGUUCCCCUAACAGGUUGUUCCCCUAACAGGUUGUUCCCCUAACAGGUUAUUCCCCUAACAGGUUAUUCCCCUAACAGGUUAUUCCCCUAACAGGUUGUUCCCCUAACAGGUUGUUCCCCUAACAGGUUAUUCCCCUAACAGGUUGUUCCCCUAACAGGUUGUUCCCCUAACAGGUUGUUCCCCUAACAGGUUAUUCCCCUAACAGGUUAUUCCCCUAACAGGUUAUUCCCCUAACAGGUUAUUCCCCUAACAGGUUAUUCCCCUAACAGGUUGUUCCCCUAACAGGUUGUUCCCCUAACAGGUUGUUCCCCUAACAGGUUAUUCCCCUAACAGGUUGUUCCCCUAACAGGUUAUUCCCCUAACAGGUUGUUCCCCUAACAGGUUGUUCCCCUAACAGGUUGUUCCCCUGACAGGUUAUUCCCCUAACAGGUUAUUCCCCUAACAGCACAAGAACUUGCAUUACCCAAAACAGUUACAAGAAUACAAAUCCUCUAAUAAAUGUUUAGAAUGGCCAUGACAAUACCACUUAGGCAUGGCCAUGACAAUACCAGUAAGCCACAAGGCCUGGGCAACUCCAGUCCUCGGGGG